ensembl:lncRNA
CUUAGACAUCAUAUAAGUGAUUUUUUUGAGCACUAGAAAAAUACAAUAAGAAUAAUUUAAGCGACAAUAAUAAAAAUUAAAUAAAGAAUUAACUAUGUAUGCCAAUUACAGUACAUCUUGAGAAAUACAGCAUUUACACUAGAUGGUAAUAUAGUCAAUUAUCAUACAGAUGUGUCAUAAAGUCAAUAAUCACACUCUGUUCACACUCUGUUCAUAAAGAAGGCAUUCACAUUGAUAGCUGUGAUUACACAGUAAUAACAUGCUGAUGUGCGCUCAAACAGAUGGUAAUCAUGCCGAUACAUCCACAUUCCCCACAAAACACAAACACAUAUAUAAGAAAAAUGUUGAAAAAUAAAUAAAGGACGUUUAUUUAUUUGUGCCAAACCACAAUCGCUAAGUUACGCCUCCAUCAGAUGACAGGUGCAUCACAGCGAGCGUCAGGAGAGAGCGCCAGAAUUUAAAUAAACAAUCGUCCACCUAUCUUUGACUUUUUUUUUAGUGGAUCGUCUCAUUCUGUUUGUGACACUGUAUGCUACAAAACCAUGCUAUUUUUUUACUACCAAGACGCAGUUUCUGAGCGGAAGUUAUUCCAUAAUGGACACAAACAAUUCUGUCCCUGAAGAUCUGAAAUGUAAACAAAGGAAUCACUAUCCAUAUUACAACGUUAUUGCUUCGUUGGACUAAACAUGCUCUUUGGGAUGUCGUUAAGUGGACCCUUACCUUUCUAACUAAACCGGGAUUUACAGCUGUAGAUGCGUUUAUGACUCGUUAUUAUGAUGAAUCUGGUACGUACUGCUUUUUGCUUCUUCAUGCUUUGAUGUGUACUGCUUAUACAAAUUUAGCAAAUACAUUCUUUAUAAGCUUUCCAUUGAAAAACAGCAAUCUUUUGUCGUUGCUUGAGGCUUAGAUCUUUAUAAUGAAAUAUAGUUUGUCGAGAUUAAUUUUGUCCCGUUUCAUUUAAUCUAUUCAUAAACACUGACACAUGCAGAUAGGGCUAAUUGAGUACGCCCGAGUCCAGGUGUGGGUUAACAGGUUCAUAUUGCCUAAAACAUCCAAAGCAGUUUGCCCAAUAACAUGCAGGUAUUGUACAUAAUCAAUCAAUCAUGGGGCUGCACGUGAUAAGGUGAGAUCUUCCCACAGACUGACCACCGAGAGGGACGUGGUAAGCAGUCAUAGAUGCCAUGUACACCUUCAGGGUGGAGUGGGUCAACCAUGCAGAGAAUCUACCCUGCAAGAACUCUAGCCCUGAACCGACCGGGCAGUUAACUGGGUCAAGCUGGUGAUCUCUACACCAGGAAGUGAAGAGUU